ACUAAAAUGUAAUUAGUUUUAGUCACAUUUAACAGCCAUAUUAAACUCCUUUUCUUCCCUCCUCAGGCCCAGGGACCCCCUGUGUUGUGUCUACAGCUGCAUAAUAGUCUAGCUUGCAGUACUUGGUUGUCCAUGAGAUGUCCCUCCUAGGGCAGAUCUAUACAUGUCCCUCCUAGGACAGGUCCAUCAAAUGUCCCUCCUAGGACAGGUCUAUAGAUGUCCCUCCUAGGACAGGCCUAUAGAUGUCCCUCCUAGGACAGGCCUAUAGAUGUCCCUCCUAGGACAGGCCUAUAGAUGUCCCUCCUAGGACAGGUCGAUAGAUGUCCCUCCUAGGACAGGCCUAUAGAUGUCCCUCCUAGGACAGGCCUA
ensembl:lncRNA